GACAAUUUUGAUUCUACAGGUGGAAUCCCCCACCUCCACUGUGAAUACUUUUGGCUAUGUUCUUUCCCUCUCUCGUUGUCGUAGAUAUUCUUAACGGGAAAGUUCCUGUACCUGCUUCUCUUCUGUAUAAAUCUUCCUUUUGCAUCACAUAAUGAGCGGCUUGAUUCCUGACCUUCUUUAAUUCCAUUUUAUCUUCUGGUAUCUCUUUACCUGUGAUGAAGUUUUUUAUCUUUUCUCUCCAGUCUUCUAUUUCCUGUCUAAUUUCCAAGUUUUCCCGAUGUGUUUGGAUGGCUGAG
rnacentral:lncRNA from 1 species